rnacentral:rRNA from 1 species
UUAAGCGACUAAGCGUACACGGUGGAUGCCCUGGCAGUCAGAGGCGAUGAAGGACGUGCUAAUCUGCGAUAAGCGUCGGUAAGGUGAUAUGAACCGUUAUAACCGGCGAUUUCCGAAUGGGGAAACCCAGUGUGUUUCGACACACUAUCAUUAACUGAAUCCAUAGGUUAAUGAGGCGAACCGGGGGAACUGAAACAUCUAAGUACCCGAGGAAAAGAAAUCAACCGAGAUUCCCCCAGUAGCGGCGAGCGAACGGGGAGCAGCCCAGAGCCUGAAUCAGUGUGUGUGUUAGUGGAAGCGUCUGGAAAGGCGCGCGAUACAGGGUGACAGCCCCGUACACAAAAAUGCACAUACUGUGAGCUCGAUGAGUAGGGCGGGACACGUGGUAUCCUGUCUGAAUAUGGGGGACCAUCCUCCAAGGCUAAAUACUCCUGACUGACCGAUAGUGAACCAGUACCGUGAGGGAAAGGCGAAAAGAACCCCGGCGAGGGGAGUGAAAAAGAACCUGAAACCGUGUACGUACAAGCAGUGGGAGCACAGAGCAAUCUGUGUGACUGCGUACCUUUUGUAUAAUGGGUCAGCGACUUAUAUUCUGUAGCAAGGUUAACCGAAUAGGGGAGCCGAAGGGAAACCGAGUCUUAACUGGGCGUUAAGUUGCAGGGUAUAGACCCGAAACCCGGUGAUCUAGCCAUGGGCAGGUUGAAGGUUGGGUAACACUAACUGGAGGACCGAACCGACUAAUGUUGAAAAAUUAGCGGAUGACUUGUGGCUGGGGGUGAAAGGCCAAUCAAACCGGGAGAUAGCUGGUUCUCCCCGAAAGCUAUUUAGGUAGCGCCUCGUGAAUUCAUCUCCGGGGGUAGAGCACUGUUUCGGCAAGGGGGUCAUCCCGACUUACCAACCCGAUGCAAACUACGAAUACCGGAGAAUGUUAUCACGGGAGACACACGGCGGGUGCUAACGUCCGUCGUGAAGAGGGAAACAACCCAGACCGCCAGCUAAGGUCCCAAAGUCAUGGUUAAGUGGGAAACGAUGUGGGAAGGCCCAGACAGCCAGGAUGUUGGCUUAGAAGCAGCCAUCAUUUAAAGAAAGCGUAAUAGCUCACUGGUCGAGUCGGCCUGCGCGGAAGAUGUAACGGGGCUAAACCAUGCACCGAAGCUGCGGCAGCGACGCUGAUGCGUUGUUGGGUAGGGGAGCGUUCUGUAAGCCUGCGAAGGUGUGCUGUGAGGCAUGCUGGAGGUAUCAGAAGUGCGAAUGCUGACAUAAGUAACGAUAAAGCGGGUGAAAAGCCCGCUCGCCGGAAGACCAAGGGUUCCUGUCCAACGUUAAUCGGGGCAGGGUGAGUCGACCCCUAAGGCGAGGCCGAAAGGCGUAGUCGAUGGGAAACAGGUUAAUAUUCCUGUACUUGGUGUUACUGCGAAGGGGGGACGGAGAAGGCUAUGUUGGCCGGGCGACGGUUGUCCCGGUUUAAGCGUGUAGGCUGGUUUUCCAGGCAAAUCCGGAAAAUCAAGGCUGAGGCGUGAUGACGAGGCACUACGGUGCUGAAGCAACAAAUGCCCUGCUUCCAGGAAAAGCCUCUAAGCAUCAGGUAACAUCAAAUCGUACCCCAAACCGACACAGGUGGUCAGGUAGAGAAUACCAAGGCGCUUGAGAGAACUCGGGUGAAGGAACUAGGCAAAAUGGUGCCGUAACUUCGGGAGAAGGCACGCUGAUAUGUAGGUGAAGUCCCUCGCGGAUGGAGCUGAAAUCAGUCGAAGAUACCAGCUGGCUGCAACUGUUUAUUAAAAACACAGCACUGUGCAAACACGAAAGUGGACGUAUACGGUGUGACGCCUGCCCGGUGCCGGAAGGUUAAUUGAUGGGGUCAGCGCAAGCGAAGCUCUUGAUCGAAGCCCCGGUAAACGGCGGCCGUAACUAUAACGGUCCUAAGGUAGCGAAAUUCCUUGUCGGGUAAGUUCCGACCUGCACGAAUGGCGUAAUGAUGGCCAGGCUGUCUCCACCCGAGACUCAGUGAAAUUGAACUCGCUGUGAAGAUGCAGUGUACCCGCGGCAAGACGGAAAGACCCCGUGAACCUUUACUAUAGCUUGACACUGAACAUUGAGCCUUGAUGUGUAGGAUAGGUGGGAGGCUUUGAAGUGUGGACGCCAGUCUGCAUGGAGCCGACCUUGAAAUACCACCCUUUAAUGUUUGAUGUUCUAACGUUGACCCGUAAUCCGGGUUGCGGACAGUGUCUGGUGGGUAGUUUGACUGGGGCGGUCUCCUCCUAAAGAGUAACGGAGGAGCACGAAGGUUGGCUAAUCCUGGUCGGACAUCAGGAGGUUAGUGCAAUGGCAUAAGCCAGCUUGACUGCGAGCGUGACGGCGCGAGCAGGUGCGAAAGCAGGUCAUAGUGAUCCGGUGGUUCUGAAUGGAAGGGCCAUCGCUCAACGGAUAAAAGGUACUCCGGGGAUAACAGGCUGAUACCGCCCAAGAGUUCAUAUCGACGGCGGUGUUUGGCACCUCGAUGUCGGCUCAUCACAUCCUGGGGCUGAAGUAGGUCCCAAGGGUAUGGCUGUUCGCCAUUUAAAGUGGUACGCGAGCUGGGUUUAGAACGUCGUGAGACAGUUCGGUCCCUAUCUGCCGUGGGCGCUGGAGAACUGAGGGGGGCUGCUCCUAGUACGAGAGGACCGGAGUGGACGCAUCACUGGUGUUCGGGUUGUCAUGCCAAUGGCACUGCCCGGUAGCUAAAUGCGGAAGAGAUAAGUGCUGAAAGCAUCUAAGCACGAAACUUGCCCCGAGAUGAGUUCUCCCUGACUCCUUGAGAGUCCUGAAGGAACGUUGAAGACGACGACGUUGAUAGGCCGGGUGUGUAAGCGCAGCGAUGCGUUGAGCUAACCGGUACUAAUGAACCGUGAGGCUUAACCUU